rnacentral:lncRNA from 10 species
AUUAUUUUAAUAAGUGGUUAUAACUUUUGAGUCAGUGGUUUAUGUUUUGCAUUUUUUUUGUUUUGAGACAAAGUCUCGCUCUGUCUCCCAGGCUAGAGUACCGUGGCACAAUCUCAGCUCAUUGCAACCUCUGCUUCCUGGGCUCAAGCACUCUGCCCACCUCAGCCUCCAGAGUAGCUGGAAAUACAGAUGGAGUCUAGCUCUGUCUCCUAAGCUACAGUGAAGUGGCAUGAUCUCGGCCCACUGCAACCUCCACCUCCUGUGUUCAAGCGAUUCUGCCUCAGCCUCCUGAGUAGCUGGGACUACAGGCAUGUGCCAUUAUACCUGGCUAAUUUUAUUUAUUUAUUUUAGUAGAGAUGGGGUUUCACCAUGUUACCCAGGCUGCUCUCUACCUUCUGAGCUCAAGUGAUCCACCUGCCUCGGCCUCCCAAAGUGCUGGGAUUACAGGUGUCAGCCACUGUACCUGGCUGAAUACUUGGUUUUCAGUACCACAAGAACUAUGAGCUGGUUAUCCACUUCAUGUGGAAUCAUAAGCGUCCCAAAGUGACAAUACA